rnacentral:rRNA from 1 species
AUGUGUCUCCAAUUUGUCACUCAUACAGUUCAAAAAAAAAUUUGUCACUCAUCUAGUAUUGAUGUAUAUCCAAAAGACCAAAAACAAGGGGAGUUGUACACAGCGGGCAGAGAGGAUGAGAGCUCACUCUAUGUACAGGUGGAGCAGAGACGACGAACUCACUCUAUGUGCAGCGGAGCUCGGAGGAAGACGAUCACUCUAUGUACAGCCACUCUAUGUGCAGCUAAAAACUACCUAAUUGAUCAGCCCGGAGUCGAAUUGGGUCUUAAAACUCCAACCCUCCGGCUUAACCCCCACCGAUCUUCUUUCUAUACAGCGACCGGAUUAUUCAGGGAACUUCUUUCCUAUGUACAGUAUGUUCAGUAUGUACGUAUCUUCGCUAUGGCAUGUCGACGAUGUUGUUUUUUUUACUGGCGGCCGCCGGCGGCGGAGAGCCGGCUUGGCCCGGCGUGGAACCGCUCCACCACUCGCUUCCGGUGCUGCUGCUGCUGCACGGCGGGGGACGGCACGAGCGCCUUGCGUGCCCAGUGCCCGCUCCCCAUGGGGACGCGCUGCGCCAGCCCGCUGUACGAGCGUUUAGAGCAGCCGCUACCGCUGCCGCUGGGGACGAGCUGCGCGAACGGGCUCGCCGUGCGCUUCGACGGCGGUGAAGGCGGAGAGGCGGGCCUGCUGCUGACGGCGGGGGCCGCCUGUUUGCCCUCCUUGUGGAGGCUGCAGCGGAACGAGCCCGGGUGGUUCGUCGGGGAGCACAUGCAGGACCGACGGACCUUGGCGGUGGGAGAGGAGGGGGGAGACGAGACGCUGACGGACUUGACCGGCGAGCCGGCGGCGGAGAGCUUGACACGGGAGAGCGAGGCGGAUUGGUAG